rnacentral:rRNA from 1 species
AUUGAACGCUGGCGGCAUGCCUUACACAUGCAAGUCGAACGGUAACAGGUCUUCGGAUGCUGACGAGUGGCGAACGGGUGAGUAAUACAUCGGAACGUGCCUAGUAGUGGGGGAUAACUACUCGAAAGAGUGGCUAAUACCGCAUGAGAUCUACGAAUGAAAGCAGGGGAUCGCAAGACCUUGUGCUACUAGAGCGGCCGAUGGCAGAUUAGGUAGUUGGUGGGAUAAAAGCUUACCAAGCCGACGAUCUGUAGCUGGUCUGAGAGGACGAUCAGCCACACUGGGACUGAGACACGGCCCAGACUCCUACGGGAGGCAGCAGUGGGGAAUUUUGGACAAUGGGCGCAAGCCUGAUCCAGCAAUGCCGCGUGCAGGAUGAAGGCCUUCGGGUUGUAAACUGCUUUUGUACGGAACGAAAAGCCCUGGGUUAAUACCCUGGGGUCAUGACGGUACCGUAAGAAUAAGCACCGGCUAACUACGUGCCAGCAGCCGCAGUAAAAC